AUGCGGGGGGCCCUCGGCCGCGACGCCUCCGCCGGCGGCGCCGGAGGAGGGAAAGGAGGAGACGACGCCGCAGCCGGCAUCAUUCGCCACGACCGCAAGUGCCGGGACCUGCCGUUCCUCGCCCUCUUCGCCGCCUUCUGGGUCGCCAUGAUUGUCAACUCCAGCUUCGGGUUCAACCAGGGCAGCCCGCUCAGGCUGACUUAUGGACUCGACUACAAAGGGAACAUAUGUGGCAGCAAACACGGUGAUCCAGAUUUGAGUGAGCUGGAUGUUCGUUACUGGGUGAACCCCAACCAAGUGUAUCAAAGUGGGCUAAAAAAUAGCACAAGUGAUCUAGCUGAUGCUAAGUCCAUCUGUCUGAUGGAAUGCCCCUAUCCCGCGGAAGAUGGCCUGAACUUUGUUUGUGAUUAUCCGGAAGGUGACAUACGGCUCUCUGUUGAUGAUUGGAUCGACAGGGACUAUGAUUACUUUGAGUAUCUCACACCAGAUAUGAGAAACAGUUCUCUUCAGUUGCAGGGUCCAUGUUACCCCAUCAUAUUUCCAAGUAUAAAUGUCUACUGGAGCUGCCAGUUUAUUGCACGGCCAUCCAAUGUCUCUCUGAAACAUUGGCAGCAGAUGGGUGGUGUCAGCAUUGAUGAAAACAUGCUAAUAGAUAAGACAAUUCACAAUACCAUCAACUAUAAAUCUUCUGUAUUAAAGAGAUAUGUUGCAGAUAUUGGGAAAUCUUGGCCUGUGUUAAUCGUUUGUGGGGGGUUACUCCCUCUUUUCCUAUCUUUGAUUUGGUUAGCGAUGAUCCGCUAUUUUGUUGCUGGGAUGCCAUGGAUAACAGUGAUCCUUUUCAAUGCCCUUGUAAUAUCAGUCACGACGUUCUUCUAUAUAAAAGCUGGCUGGAUUGGCAAUGAUCCCUUAACUGUUGUGAUUGGUCCAAGUGAUCCAUAUGUCAGCAUAGGUGGACGGGAAAUAAACCACCUUCAUGCUGCUGCUGUAUUGAUGACAGUGGUAAUGAUCAUUGCUUUCCUGACUUCAAUAGCUAUUGUGCGGCGUAUACUGAUAGAGACAUCCACAACCGUCCUAAAGGUGGCUGCAAAGGUCAUUGGUGAAGUCCAUGCACUCAUCAUCUUUCCGGUCGUACCAUACUUCGCCCUUGCUAUCAUCUAUAUGUUCUGGUUUGCGGCUACACUGUAUCUUUUCAGCUCUGGUCAAGUUCUACAAAAUGAUUGCAAUGCAGAGUGCUGCUCAUUUGAUCUCAAGCUGGGAAAAGUAAAUUGCGACAGCUGUUGUGGGUACAGUGUCCAUUACGCCCCUCAUAUUGGCAUUGCGAUUCUUUUCCACCUGUUUGGCUGUUACUGGGCAACACAAUUCUUCAUCGCAUGCUCUUCGACCGUAAUUGCUGGAUCAGUUGCUUCAUACUACUGGGCGCGUGGUGAAAUAUCGCAUGACAUACCGUUUCAUACUGUGGUGUCUUCCCUGAAGCGUUUGCUGCGCUACAGCCUUGGAUCUGUGGCUCUAGGUUCACUGGUCGUAUCGAGCGUAGAGUGGGUGCGGUGUAUACUUAAAGCGCUCCGCCGUAGGCUGAAGGGGGUUGAUUCAACCGGUGAAAGCCGCUUGGGGAAGACAGUGUCAUCCUCAUCUCACUGCUGCUUGGGCUGCAUAGACUGGACCAUCAAGUCAGUGAACCGGAAUGCUUAUAUCGUGAUUGCGGUUACAGGGAAAGGGUUCUGCAAAGCCUCCGAGCUCGCGACGGGGCUGAUAAUGAACAACAUACUGCGCAUCGGGAAGGUGAACGUCAUCGGGGACGUGAUCCUCUACCUGGGGAAGCUGUGCGUGAGCCUGUCCAGCGCGCUGUUCGCGUUCCUCAUGCUGGACACCCACAAGUACAGGUCUGCUCACAACAAGAUAUCGUCCCCGCUCUUCCCCGUGCUGCUGUGCUGGGCGCUUGGGUACAUGGUGGCUCAGCUCUUCUUCGGCGUGGUGGAGACGUCGGUGGAGACGAUAAUCCUAUCCUUCUGCCAGGACGCUGAGGAGCACGACGGGGAGGCGCAGUACGCUCCCCCUCUGCUCAUGGAGACGUUGGGCGACACGAGCCAGCUGCAGAGGCUCACGCAGGGGCCGUGA
rnacentral:rRNA from 1 species